UUUCCGUAGGUGAACCUGCGGAAGGAUCAUUAAAGUUAUAGUCCCCCGGCCCUCUGGGCUGGGGUCUUCUAUACCACCCUUUGUUUAUUACACCUUUGUUGCUUUGGCAGGCCUGCCCUCGGACUGCUGGCUCCGGCCGGCUCGCGUCUGCCAGAGGACCUAAACUCUGUUUGUAUAUGAAGUCUGAGUACUAUAUAAUAGUUAAAACUUUCAACAACGGAUCUCUUGGUUCUG
rnacentral:misc_RNA from 1 species